CUCGCUGGUGCUGGGUGUGCCCGGCCUCUUGCUCUGGCCACGCUGGCCUUGCUCCAUCGGGCAGGAAGCACCUGCUGCAGUGUCGGGCGGCCUGGGGGGCAGUGCACCGCCAGCCCCUGCUCUGGGAGCAGGCUCCAGCGCCAUGGGGCAGUCCUGCCCUUUGGACUCAAAGUCUGCUCUGGUUGGCUCUGUGACUCUCGCUUGCUCGGCUCUUGUCACGUCUGGCUCCACACCUGAGAGCUGGCCUCCCCACCCCCCCUCCACAGGACGCUGCACCCCUUCCCAGCCCGGUGAGCACAGGCUCCUCCCGUCCCUCGAUGACCUGCCUGCUCGGGGCCCUCUGGACCACUGCCCCAGAAGGAGGGGUGAGGCAUUCUGGAAACAUGCUUCUGAUGCAAAGGGAGCUUCUCCUUCCCCAUCCCUGGGACCACUCAGGUUUAUGCCUCCUCUUUGACAGCAGGCAGAGCCUCCAGCCCUGGGACAAGGUCAAUGAGGCCUCGGCUGCUUAAGGAGGGGCAGAUGGCCCCCACCCCCGGCUAACCACAAGGACAGGCAGAGCCGACUGCCUGGGAGGGCAGGGAUGCCCUCAAGGACCAGCUCGGAGGCCCAGACGCAGGGGCUCAUGUAAGACUCAGGACCAUGGAAGCCCCUCCUUCCACACCAUGAGCCUGACACCAAAUAGCACAGCAAGCAGCGGCGGUCAGUCGUGUCCUGGGGAAGGGCCGGAGCCAGGAGAGUCCCACAUGGUGCAGGCCUGUGGGCACAAAGGUGGAGGAAGGGCUGGGAACACAAAGGAAGGCCUCUGGCACUUCAGCCCCAUGUGACCUAGAGCAGCUGGUCACCCUGGGCUUGGGACACUGAUGCAAGGCAAGUGUGGUCUGCAGAAACAAAGCCCAAGCCCGUUGAGCGCCUGACCAGACUGUCAACCACCUGCUCCGCACUCUCUUAAAGGCAUAUAGAAUAUUUCCUGCAGCACUGCAGUUUGGAUCUGAAGUGUCCCCACAGGCCCCUGGCGUGCAGGCCUGUCCCCAGCCGAGGUGCUGUUUACUGAGAGGGGAGGACCUGUCAGAGGUGGUGAAGCCAGAAUUAGACAGGCAGUCAGUCUAGAAAGGUAAGGCAAGUCAGGUCAGCUCAAGGAGGUCAAUUUUGAGUGAGGCUGGGAAGUUGGAGACUGUCCUCUUGAAGUGGCACCCCCUUUCUCCACAGAAAAGCCCUCUUCACCAUGGCUGAUUUUAGGACUGUCAGCAAAAGAGUCUCUUCGAAAGAGUCCAAUGUAGAUAAACUUCCUAUUUUCAUGUCACCCUGCUUACUUGGCCACUGGCCGAGAAGAUACCAGCACUCCAGGUGAUGGACACCCCUUACUAGUUUUUGACACACAUAUCCAGUAUAGUAGUUUGAAGAACUGUGCAAACAAGGCCUCUGGCCUUGAGCUGGGCUUCACAGGGAUGUCCACAUUUUUAAGAUAAGUUACAAAUGGGCCCAUGGUAACAGCUGACAGGGGGAGGAAAGAGAGGGGAGAAGAGGCUCCCCCUUCUCAGGUGUUGUCCUUGAAGGGUCAACUUGCCCAGAACAGUGAGAGAAAAAGCUGAUUUCGUGUGAACUUCUGCAGACUGUGAACUGCUGAGCCCCUCCCCUUACAUGCUGGGGAUAAAAUUCUGAAACUCCCUGAACUCGGGGUUCAGGGGAUUGAUUGAUUACAGCACAGGCUGUGCCCCCUGAGCCUGGCUGCAGCCAAAUAAAACUGUUUCCUGC